rnacentral:snRNA from 1 species
AUCACUUCUUGGCCUUUUGGCUAAGAUCAAGUGUAGUAUCUUUAAUUUUUUAAUGAAUUAAUUUCAAUGUAGGAAACUGAGUGAGGCAAGGAGCCCAA